GGACACCGCUGGACACACCGAACUGCUUUGCAAGCAGGGGGUCGUGGGUUCGAAUCCCAUCGUCUCCACCA
rnacentral:tRNA from 1 species